rnacentral:rRNA from 1 species
GAUGAACGCUGGCGGCGUGCCUAAUACAUGCAAGUCGAGCGAACAGACGAGGAGCUUGCUCCUCUGACGUUAGCGGCGGACGGGUGAGUAACACGUGGAUAACCUACCUAUAAGACUGGGAUAACUUCGGGAAACCGGAGCUAAUACCGGAUAAUAUCUUGAACCGCAUGGUUCAAUAGUUAAAGACGGUUUUGCUGUCACUUAUAGAUGGAUCCGCGCCGCAUUCGCUAGUUGGUAAGGUAACGGCUUACCAAGGCAACGAUGCGUAGCCGACCUGAGAGGGUGAUCGGCCACACUGGAACUGAGACACGGUCCAGACUCCUACGGGAGGCAGCAGUAGGGAAUCUUCCGCAAUGGGCGGAAGCCUGACGGAGCAACGCCGCGUGAGUGAUGAAGGUCUUCGGAUCGUAAAACUCUGUUAUUAGGGAAGAACAAAUGUGUAAGUAACUAUGCACGUCUUGACGGUACCUAAUCAGAAAGCCACGGCUAACUACGUG